GCGCACGGGUGCGUAACGCGUAUGCAACCUACCCUUAACUGGGGGAUAGCCCGAAGAAAUUCGGAUUAAUACCCCAUAGUGUCCUCAGACGGCAUCAGAAGAGGAUUAAAGAUUUAUUGGUUAAGGAUGGGCAUGCGUGACAUUAGUUAGUUGGUGAGGUAACGGCUCACCAAGACCACGAUGUCUAGGGGUUCUGAGAGGAUGAUCCCCCACACUGGUACUGAGAUACGGACCAGACUCCUACGGGAGGCAGCAGUAGGGAAUAUUGGUCAAUGGGCGGAAGCCUGAACCAGCCAUGCCGCGUGCAGGAAGACGGCCUUCUGGGUUGUAAACUGCUUUUAUACAGGAACAAAUAGUCCAUGCGUGGAAAGUUGAGUGUACUGUACGAAUAAGCACCGGCUAACUCCGUGCCAGCAGCCGCGGUAAUACGGAGGGUGCAAGCGUUGUCCGGAUUUAUUGGGUUUAAAGGGUGCGUAGGUGGUCAAUUAAGUCAGUGGUGAAAGCCCACAGCUCAACUGU
rnacentral:rRNA from 1 species